rnacentral:rRNA from 1 species
AUUGAACGCUGGCGGCAGGCCUAACACAUGCAAGUCGAGCGAGCGGCGGACGGGUGAGUAAUGUAUGGGGACUGCCCGAUCGAGGGGGAUAACUACUGGAAACGGUAGCUAAUACCGCAUACUAUCGGAUAACCCAUAUGGGAUUAGCUAGUAGGUGAGGUAAUGGCUCACCUAGGCGACGAGCCCUAGCUGGUCUGAGGGGAUGAACGGCCACACUGGUACUGGGACACGGCCCGGAGUCCUACGGAGGAAGCAGUGGAGAAGAUGGCACAAUGGGCGCAAGCCUGAUGCAGCCAUGCCGCGUGUAUGAAGAAGGCCCUAGGGUUGUAAAGUACUUUCAGUCGGGAGGCGUUACCGACAGAAGAAGCACCGGCUAACUCCGUGCCAGCAGCCGCGGUAAUAC